UCCCCAGUGGCUCAGUGGUAAAGAAUCUGCCUGUAGUGCAGAAGUUUCGGGUUCAAUCCCUGAGUCGGGAA
rfam:Ovis aries breed Texel chromosome 3, whole genome shotgun sequence.